GAGAUCUUAGUUUAAUGGUAAAAUACGAGAUUUUUAAUCUUUGUUAUAAGGGUUCGACCCCCUUAGGUCUUA
rnacentral:tRNA from 4 species